rnacentral:tRNA from 1 species
GGUAUCGGUGGUGGGUACCUUCAGCAUUCUCUAUAUGCUGGGCUUCUCGCUGAAUACCCUGAGCCUGUUCGGGCUGGUACUG